rnacentral:rRNA from 1 species
GGGUGAGUAACACGUGGGUAACCUGCCUGUAAGACUGGGAUAACUCCGGGAAACCGGAGCUAAUACCGGAUAGUUCCUUGAACCGCAUGGUUCAAGGAUGAAAGACGGUUUCGGCUGUCACUUACAGAUGGACCCGCGGCGCAUUAGCUAGUUGGUGAGGUAACGGCUCACCAAGGCGACGAUGCGUAGCCGACCUGAGAGGGUGAUCGGCCACACUGGGACUGAGACACGGCCCAGACUCCUACGGGAGGCAGCAGUAGGGAAUCUUCCGCAAUGGACGAAAGUCUGACGGAGCAACGCCGCGUGAGUGAUGAAGGUUUUCGGAUCGUAAAGCUCUGUUGUUAGGGAAGAACAAGUGCAAGAGUAACUGCUUGCACCUUGACGGUACCUAACCAGAAAGCCACGGCUAACUACGUGCCAGCAGCCGCGGUAAUACGUAGGUGGCAAGCGUUGUCCGGAAUUAUUGGGCGUAAAGGGCUCGCAGGCGGUUUCUUAAGUCUGAUGUGAAAGCCCCCGGCUCAACCGGGGAGGGUCAUUGGAAAACUGGGAAACUUGAGUG